rnacentral:piRNA from 1 species
ACUAGAAAGAGAAAGGCAGGAAAACG